rnacentral:ncRNA from 1 species
UUAAAAGUAAUGCGAAGGACAUGAUUGUGUAAUUUUGUGUUCUAGAGAGAAGCCGUUUGCUGGAAGGCUUUACACAUAUUAUAGAAUUACUCCCUUCAAACUGAUAUACGGAACCGAAAGCAGUAAGUAUAUCCGCUAAGAAGCGUUAUUUUCUAAGAAGUGAGUCAGGUAAUAGACUAACUAGGGUGGAACCGCGGAUAUAGAUCUUCGUCCCUUGU